rnacentral:rRNA from 1 species
CUUUCAACAACGGAUCUCUUGGCUCCGGCAUCGAUGAAGAACGCAGCGAAAUGCGAUAACUAGUGUGAAUUGCAGAAUUCAGUGAAUCAUCGAGUCUUUGAACGCAACUUGCGGCCGCCGGCAUUCCGGCGGCCAUGCCUGUCCGAGCGCC